rnacentral:rRNA from 1 species
GAUGAACGCUGGCGGCGUGCCUAAUACAUGCAAGUCGAGCGAACAGACGAGGAGCUUGCUCCUCUGACGUUAGCGGCGGACGGGUGAGUAACACGUGGAUAACCUACCUAUAAGACUGGGAUAACUUCGGGAAACCGGAGCUAAUACCGGAUAAUAUAUUGAACCGCAUGGUUCAAUAGUGAAAGACGGUUUUGCUGUCACUUAUAGAUGGAUCCGCGCCGCAUUAGCUAGUUGGUAAGGUAACGGCUUACCAAGGCAACGAUGCGUAGCCGACCUGAGAGGGUGAUCGGCCACACUGGAACUGAGACACGGUCCAGACUCCUACGGGAGGCAGCAGUAGGGAAUCUUCCGCAAUGGGCGAAAGCCUGACGGAGCAACGCCGCGUGAGUGAUGAAGGUCUUUGGAUCGUAAAACUCUGUUAUUAGGGAAGAACAAAUGUGUAAGUAACUAUGCACGUCUUGACGGUACCUAAUCAGAAAGCCACGGCUAACUACG